GACGAACGCUGGCGGCGUGCUUAACACAUGCAAGUCGAACGGAAAGGCCCUGCUUUUGUGGGGUGCUCGAGUGGCGAACGGGUGAGUAACACGUGAGUAACCUGCCCUUGACUUUGGGAUAACUUCAGGAAACUGGGGCUAAUACCGGAUAGGAGCUCCUGCUGCAUGGUGGGGGUUGGAAAGUUUCGGCGGUUGGGGAUGGACUCGCGGCUUAUCAGCUUGUUGGUGGGGUAGUGGCUUAGCAAGGCUUUGACGGGUAGCCGGCCUGAGAGGGUGACCGGCCACAUUGGGACUGAGGUACCGCCCAUACUCCUACGGGAGGCAGCAGUGGGGAAUAUUGCACAAUGGGCGGAAGCCGGAUGCAGCAACGCCGCGUGCGGGAUGACGGCCUUCGGGUUGUAACCCGCUUUCGCCUGUGACGAAGCGUGAGUGACGGUAAUGUGUAAAGAAGCACCGGCUAACUACGUG
rnacentral:rRNA from 1 species